UAUGUGAUCGUCUCUCGCAUAUCAAUAAGCGGAGGAAAAGAAACUAACAAGGAUUCCCCUAGUAACGGCGAGUGAAGCGGGAAGAGCUCAAAUUUGAAAUCUUAAAGGGUUUCCCUUUACGAAUUGUAGUUUAAAGAAGUGUUUUCUGUUGAGGUUUUGGUAAAAGUUCUUUGGAAUAGGACAUCAUAGAGGGUGAGAAUCCCGUAUUUGACCUUUACUUUCAACUUUGUGAUACACUUUCAAAGAGUCGGAUUGUUUGGGAAUGCAGUCCAAAAUGGGUGGUAAAUUUCAUCUAAAGCUAAAUAUUGGCGAGAGACCGAUAGCGAACAAGUACCGUGAGGGAAAGAUGAAAAGAACUUUGAAAAGAGAGUUAAACAGUACGUGAAAUUGUCAAAAGGGAAGCGUUUGACACCAGUGUUGUUUUUCUGAAAAUCAAUUAAAGAACUGUUUAUGCUAAGUUGUUUAGACUUUAUCAGCUAACUGUUUAGUUUUGAGCUUUUCUUUAAUGCACUUUUCAGUUAACAAGUCAACAUCAAUUUCUUUUGCUGUAAAAAAGCUUGAGGAAGGUGGCUUGAGAUUCGUCUUAAGUGUUUAUAGCCUCUUGCCUAUGCAGUCGGAGAGAUUGAGGUCUGCAGCGUAGAUCCUUCGGGGCUAAAUGCAUUUGUGCUAAGUUAUAGCAUUUUAUAGACAACUUGUUGACUAUGAUUUGUCUUGUAGCUUACUCGCUUAUGUUAUUUUACCUACGCUUAGGAUGUUGACUGAUAUGUAGUCGUA
rnacentral:rRNA from 1 species